UGCAGAUGACGUGAAAUAAUAUUUGCUAUCUUAACAGGGAUGCUGACACCCACCAGGAUCACUUGAUGCA